rnacentral:lncRNA from 1 species
GGCUCGAGCACCGGACAAGGGAAGCCUCCCUCUGCCUGCUGGGCGGCCCUGCAGACCCCACUCGCCCACGGGACAUGGUAUCCCUGAGAAGCCGGUGUCCCAGGAGCACGGCUCUGGGGACGUUCCUACACCGAGCUGCAGGUGCCUCACCGCCUCCAUGGGUGCCUUUUGCUCCUGCUUCCACGGGGCAAGACAGAAAGAAACAACGCUGUUUGCAUCAUUGCCUGCAGACCCCGUUGCCUUGAAGAGUGAGAAACGCACAAACCUCUUCUGCACGCAGAAUCAGGCUCUGGAGACAGGGCUGCAAGCUCACCGUCCCUCUUCCCCUCCUCGAGCCCCAUUUGUCCCAAACCCUGGCAAUAAAAAGCACAAACCCAGCAAAUCUGGGCUGUGCCACCGCCGCAGGGUGCAGGCAGCCAGGGGUGCUGCCAGCCUCUCCCCGCAGCAGGGAUGAGAUCCACGCACAGGGAAGCACUGAAAGGUGAUGCUUGCAAACGGGGUCCCUGCCUCUCCAGUGCCUCUUCCCACCCUGCAUCCCG